CGUGCUUCCGUUGUUGUGUUAUGGCACCAUCAGCCGAUUGUAACUUUGCUGAUCCUAUGAGUCCGACGUUUUCUGGUCAACGCUUGGUCCAAUCUUUCCCCCGUCAUGACACGGUGAAACUAGAGGGAGAAAACUUUGUUCAAUGGCAGCAACAUAUCCGAUUGAUAAUAGAGGGAUAUGAGCUGCAAGGUUUCUUGGAAGGUACGCUGUCUGCUUUGUCUCGAUUUAUUGCGUCUCCAGAAGGUGCUCUUAUUCUGAAUCCAGAAGUGGCUACAUUCAAUCAACAGGAUAAGCUAUUAGCUUCUUGGCUCCUAAGUACGAUUAGUUCGUCACUUUUGUCAUGUUUUACCUCUACUCAAUCUGCGUGUGACAUCUAGAGCACCGCAAAUCGUCUUUUUGCUGCGUCAACUAGUGUGAAAAUUUCUCGCAUCAAGCAUGAUCUUCAUUCUACAAAGAAGGGUGAGUUAACUGUCACAGAAUAUAUUGCGAAGAUAGAAAAUACCUGUGCCUUACUUACAGCUCUGGAUCGGUGGUGUCAGAAGCUAAAAAGGUGGAAGUCAUUUUGGCUGGGCUCUCAUCGGAUUUUGAUAUCGUACUAACCUUGGCUUUGUUCUUGACGGAGCCUCUUCCCUUUCUGCGUUUGGUCGAGGUUCUCAUGGAAUUUGAAAGUAAACAGCUGCAAGUGGCGCGUGAGGUUCCCAUCCAUGCUCAUCCUGUUGAAACGCGUAAUGUUGCUGCGAUCGUUGAUUCUGUUUCACGUGAUGUGCGUGGAGGCCGUGUGACAGUAGGUUUGCAAGAGCGUGGCUUCUGUUCGCUCAUGCAGUGCCAAAUCUGUAAUAGGUUCGAUCACAUGGUGCAGCAAUGCUUCUAUCGCUUUAAUUGGUCUUACGAUAGUCUGAAUGCUUCUACCACGGUGAGGUUUUCACCGUCUACGCAUAAUAGACAACAAGGUUUUGGAUCUGGUGACCUUUUGAGAGACUGGUCGUCUUUUCAAAGUCGGAGUGAAUAUCCACCACAACUGCAAGCUACGAAUUUUGGUGAAACUGGCUAUUGGUUGAGUUUGCAGAAGACACAAAUGGACAGUGGUUUGGAUCUGUUGGCCCGUUUGAUUUCUUUGAAAGGCGUGUUGGGCAUGCUGUGGGCCAGUGUUCUGUACAACACAUUGGGCUGCCUUCCUCGGUUGCACACAGGCCCCAUUAUGCAGGCCAGAUUCGUGGGUAGUGUCUUGGACCAAAUGCUGGUCAGGUUUUUAGGUCGGUUCAUGGGUAGAAGACUAGUCAGGUUUUUGGGCAGAAUACUGGGC
rnacentral:lncRNA from 1 species